rnacentral:lncRNA from 1 species
GAUAGUCCUCACUGGAAAUGCAAACCCGAGUUGAUUCCGAUCCUUAGAGAUGAAAAUAAAGUUGCCGAUAAACUUGCUAAUAAAGCUCACAACUUCGCGUCUUUUGAUCUGCAAGAGAUUAAUGAUCCACCUCAAAACUGCCUCCAAUUGCUCUAGCUAGCUCUUUAAUUAAAUGUAAUUAUUAAGGAACUACUACCACGUAUGAAACUACUGCCUCCUUGCUCUAGCUCUUUUUAUGUAUGGUUUUAAUGUUAAUUUGGUGAUGUUUUUAAUGUAUGGUUUGUUUAUGUUUAAUGCAAUGUGCUACUAUUGGUUUUAUUGUAUUUGUUCAACUCUUCAUUACUCCUUCCCCCUUCAACAUGUAGGGAGGGAGGAGAACAUGUAUUAUGUGUGUAUGUAGGGAGGGAGGGAGGGAGGGAGUAUUAAUUAGAUUAAAUAUAAGAUAAUUCUAUAAGAAUGAAAGACAACAAACUACCCUAUUAUUUUUUUUAAUGUCAAAACUAAUCCUCUAAUUUAUUAGAUUGUUAUUUAGUUG